rnacentral:rRNA from 1 species
GACGAACGCUGGCGGCGUGCCUAAUACAUGCAAGUAGAACGCUGAAGAGAGGAGCUUGCUCUUCUUGGAUGAGUUGCGAACGGGUGAGUAACGCGUAGGUAACCUGCCUGGUAGCGGGGGAUAACUAUUGGAAACGAUAGCUAAUACCGCAUAAAAUUGAUUAUUGCAUGAUAGUCAAUUGAAAGGUGCAACUGCACCACUACCAGAUGGACCUGCGUUGUAUUAGCUAGUUGGUGGGGUAACGGCUCACCAAGGCGACGAUACAUAGCCGACCUGAGAGGGUGAUCGGCCACACUGGGACUGAGACACGGCCCAGACUCCUACGGGAGGCAGCAGUAGGGAAUCUUCGGCAAUGGACGGAAGUCUGACCGAGCAACGCCGCGUGAGUGAAGAAGGUUUUCGGAUCGUAAAGCUCUGUUGUAAGAGAAGAACGAGUGUGAGAGUGGAA